CAUAAAAGCCGGGCGCUCCGGCGAGACCAUGCCAUCCUCGCCUUCGGACGCCCCGCUCCUCUUCUCUCUCCUCUCCUCCCCGCUGCCGCGGCCACUGCCGCCGCCGCCCAUACCAUCGGCAUGUCGGCCGACAAAUCGCAGCUGUCGUCGUCGCCGCCGCAGCUGUAGCAGUUAACGUCGCCGGCCUUCAGGAGGAGAUGGCGCUCUGCGUCGUCUCUUCGUCUCGCCUCCCUCUGUGGUCGUGGGUGGUGCGAGAGUACACGAUGGGUGGCUCUCGUCUCGGGGGACCACAGGGGGAGGGGGGUAAUUUAUUAUUCGUAUUACUGUAAUUUUGUAUCGCUUAAUUUGUUUAGAGCCGCACGCUUGACAACGCCUUGUAUAGCCUUAUUUAUCCCGAUGACUUUUUUCUCCGUACAAGAAAUGGACGUCACUUGAGCAGACACAGUUUCAUCGACCACGACAGUCUCAUGAUCUGACUACCUCUGACCCGCCAACGAGAAAACCGAAAAGUAAAAGAUGACCGCGCCCUCGGAGUCCUUUUUUCCUUUUCAAUCAUGAAAGCAAGAGGCAGCCGAGAGAAUGCCAGUAAGAGACGACCAUCGCAGACACAGUACGAUACUCAUCUUAGAACGAACCAGCGAAUAACCAUCACACGUACAGCAGAAUCUCAUGAACUAGUCAACCAACGUCAUAAAAUCUUCACACAAUCGUUUUUGCGAACUUUUAGGAACCAGCAAGUCAACAAAAGACUAACAAAGAAAAACCAUCUUGGAAUUAAAAAAAGUAGCAUCGUUACCUUAUGAACCAGCAGCAUUCAGUAUAUACACCAGAUAUAAUAUAUUUAUUAAUGUAUCCUCUCUUUCUCCUGAUGUAAUUUUGUUUUUGUAAAUUCAAUUGUUGAAAGUCUCUCCCUGGGGGAAUUGCAUAUCUUAUUGAUGAAGAAGAAAUCCCUGCCAUAUGUGUUGUCAAACUAUCAUUAUUUCUCUAUAUGGGUAUUUUUUUUCUAAGAAGCAAAAGACUAGCAGCAGCCAAAAUAAACCUGAUGAAAUCUUUAAC
rnacentral:lncRNA from 1 species